UACGAAGGGGGCUAGCGUUGCUCGGAAUCACUGGGCGUAAAGCGCACGUAGGCGGCUUUCUAAGUCAGGGGUGAAAUCCUGGAGCUCAACUCCAGAACUGCCUUUGAUACUGGAGAGCUUGAGUCCGGGAGAGGUGAGUGGAACUCCGAGUGUAGAGGUGAAAUUCGUAGAUAUUCGGAAGAACACCAGUGGCGAAGGCGACUCACUGGACACGUAUUGACGCUGAGGUGCGAAAGCGUGGGGAGCAA
rnacentral:rRNA from 1 species